AAGCGCUUGCAAUCAGACUUGAUUGCGGUUGAUCAUCCGGUGUUCUCACCGGUGCACUCUGCCGUAUUCAGGCCAGCAUCGGUUGCGGCGGCGGGAUAAAGGCGGAGGGAAUGUAGCUCCUCCGGGAGUGUUAUAGCCCUUCGUGCCAUGCCGCCUGCUGCGACCGAGGACCGCGCUUCGGCUAGGAUGCUGGCGUAAUGGUUGUAAGCGA
rnacentral:rRNA from 1 species